GCUCAGUUGGCUAUAGUGUGGUGCUAAUAAAGUCAAGGUCAUGGGUUCAAUCCCCAUACUGACCA